CCGCCCCUCCCAGCCACCGGAAGACACGCAGGCAGGUUUCUGACAGAACUUUUCCAGUUUUGUAAGUUUUACUGUUGUGGUUAAAUGGCGCUGCUGAGCCUCACAUGGACCUCUCGGUCCUCUGCUCCUCUCCACCAUCACUGAGCUGACGUGUAAACAUGGCGGGCUGUGGCUGAAGUGCACCCGGACACAGAGCUGACUGACUUCAGAGCAGAAUAUGAGUCUUUGUGAGAAGGAGGAGGAGGACAGAGCAAAGUCUCCAGUAUCCAGCUGUCCGUCUAUGAACAGUGACCGGCCUGAAGAUCCUCCCCCAAACUUCAGUAAUGAACCUGGACCAUCAGACUGUGGACCCUGGUUCUGCAGAUGGUGCAUCACAACAUACUGGGAGCAGUCUGCUUCACCAGGACACUCCUGUCCCCAGUGUGGAGAAAGAUCCAGAACAAGAGCUGGACUGCAGACAGCCAGUCUGACCAGCACUGUACAAAUGAAUGUUGGUCUGCAGGAGGUUUUCCAUGAACAUAUGAUCAGUCUUAGGAGGAGAUAUGAACGUGUGACUGAAGGAAGUGAUGAAACAGGAAGUGAUGAUACUGGAAGUAAAACCCUCCUUAACAAGAUCUACACUGAGCUCUACAUCACAGAGGGACAGAGUGAAGAGGCUGAUACCCAACAUGAGGUGAGGCAGCUUGAGACAGAUUCAGAGAAGAAGAAACUCAGUGAAACCCCAAUCAGGUGCUGCAACAUCUUUAAAGCCUCACCUGACCAAGAGAGACGCAUCAGAGUGGUUCUGACCAACGGCGUCGCUGGAGCUGGAAAAACCUUCUCAGUGCUGAAGUUCACUCUGGACUGGGCAGAGGGCUCCGAAAACCAAGAUGUCAGUCUGCUGGUUCUGCUGUCGUUCAGGGAGCUGAACCUGAUCAGAGAUGAGCAGUACAGUCUUCUCAGGCUGCUCCAUGUUUUCCAUCCAACAUUACAGAAGGUGACAGCAGAGAAGCUCGCUGACUGUAAACUUCUCUUCAUCUUUGACGGCCUGGAUGAAAGCAGACUUUCACUGGAUUUCAACAACCAUGAGGUCGUGUCUGAUGUCACACAGGAGUCAUCAGUCAGCGUGCUGCUGACAAACCUCAUCCAGGGGAAGCUGCUUCCCUCGGCUCUCGUCUGGAUCACUUCCCGACCUGCAGCAGCCAAUCAGAUCCCUCCUUCAUGUGUCGACAGGGUAACAGAAGUGCGAGGCUUCACUGACGUCCAGAAGGAGGAGUACUUCAGGAGGAGGUUCAGGGAUGAAGAUCUGUCCAGCAGAAUCAUCUCACACAUCAAGACCUCCAGGAGCCUCCACAUCAUGUGUCUGAUCCCAGUCUUCUGCUGGAUCACUGCUACAGUUCUGGACCACAUGUUGACUACAGACCAGAGAGGAGAGCUGCCCAAGACCCUGACUGACAUGUACUCACACUUCCUGCUGGUUCAGACAAAGAGGAAGAAGCAGAAGUACGAUGAGGGACGUGAGACGAGUCCACAGGAGCUGACGGAGGCUGACAGGGAAGUUCUUCUGAAGCUGGGGAGGCUGGCGUUUGAACAUCUGGAGACAGGAAACAUCAUGUUCUACCAAGAAGACCUGGAGCGCUGUGGUCUUAAUGUCACAGAGGCCUCGGUGUACUCAGGAGUUUGUACAGAGAUCUUCAGAAGAGAGAGUGUGAUCUUCCAGAAAACAGUCUACUGCUUUGUUCAUCUGAGUGUUCAGGAGUUUCUGGCUGCAGUCUACAUGUUCCACUGUUUCACCAACAGCAACACAGAGGUGGUGAAGGACUUCCUGGGAGGAUCGAGUCCCUCAUCCCUAGAAAAUUUCCUAAGGAGUGCCAUGCAGAAAUCCCUCAAAAGUAAAAAUGGCCUCCUUGACCUGUUUGUUCGCUUCCUUCAUGGCCUCUCUCUGCAGUCCAACCAGGGAGUCUUAGCAGGCCUGCUGGGUCAGACAGACAACAGUCCAGAAAUCAUCCAGAGAGCCAUCAACAACCUGAAGGAGAUGAACAGUGAUGAGAUCUCUCCUGACAGAACCAUCAGCAUCUUCCACUGUCUGACAGAGAUGAAUGACCACUCAGUUCAUCAGGAGAUCCAAAAGUUUCUGAAGUCAGAGAACAGAUCAGAGAAGAAACUCUCUGUGUUCGACUGCUCAGCUCUGGCCUACAUGCUGCAGAUGUCAGAGGAGGUUCUGGAUAAGUUGAACACAAAGAAAUACAACAUAUCCGACCAGGGAAAACAGAGACUAAUUCCAGCUGUGAGGAACUGUAGAAAGGCAAGAUUUAUUGACUGUGGACUCUCAGAGAGUCACUGUGAAGUCUUGGCCUCAGCUCUGAAGUCCAACCCCUCCCAUCUGAGUGAGCUGGAGCUGAUAGACAACGACCUGCAGGAUUCAGGAGUGAAGCUUCUCUGCGCUGGACUGGAGAGUCCAAACUGUCGACUGGAGACUCUGAGAUUGAUCGAAUGCAGUUUGUCAGAGAUCAGCUGUGCUUCUCUGGCCUCAGCUCUGAAGUCCAACUCCUCCCAUCUGACAGAGCUGGAGCUAAGUCAGAACGAGCUGCAGGAUUCAGGAGUGAAGCUUCUCUGUGCUGGACUGGAGAGUCCAAACUGUCGACUGGAGACUCUGAGAUUGUGGAACUGCGGUUUGUCAGAGAGCAGCUGUGCUUCUCUGGCCUCAGCUCUGAAGUCCAACCACUCCAAAUUGAGAGAGCUGCAGCUGACUCACAACGGGCUGCAGGAUUCAGGAGUGAAGCUUCUCUCUGCUGGACUGGAGAGUCCAAACUGUCGACUGAAGAUUCUGAGAUUGUUUUGCUGCAGUUUGUCAGAGAUCAGCUGUGCUUCUCUGGUCUCAGCUCUGAAGUCCAACUCCUGCCACCUGAGAGAGCUGGAGCUGAGUUUUAACUACAAGCUGCAGGAUUCAGGAGUGAAGCUGCUGUGUUCUGGACUCGAGAGUCCAAAUUGUCAACUGGAGACUCUGAGUUUGGAGAACUGCAGUUUGUCAGAGAUCAGCUGUGCUUCUCUGGCCUCAGUUCUGAAGUCCAACCUCUCCCAUCUGAGACAUUUGCACCUGAGUGUCAACAAGCUACAGGAUUCAGGAGUGAAGCUUCUUUCUGCUGGACUGGAGAGUACAAACUGUCGACUAGAGACUCUGAGAUUGGUGGAAUGCAGUUUGUCAGAUAUCAGCUGUGCUUCUCUGGCCUCAGCUCUGAAGUCCAACCCCUCCCAUCUGAGAGAGCUGGACCUGAGUUACAAUGAUCUGCUGGAUUCAGGUGUGAAAUUUCUCUCUGCUGGACUGGAGAGUCCAAAUUGCCGACUGGAGACUCUGGGAUUGUUGAGCUGCAGGUUGUCAGAGAUCAGUUGUGCUUCUCUGGCCUCAGCUCUGAAGUCCAACCCCUCCCACCUCAGAGACCUGGAGCUGAGUCUCAACAAGCUGCUGGAUUCAGGAGUGAAGCUGCUGUGUUCUGGACUGGAGAGUCCAAACUGUCAACUGGAGACUCUGAGAUUGGAGGCCUGCAGUUUGUCAGAGAUCAGCUGUGCUUCUCUGGCCUCAGCUCUUAAGUCCAACCCCUCCCAUCUUAGAAAGCUGGAGCUGAGGGCGAACACCCUGCAGGAUUCAGGAGUGAAGCUGCUGUCUGAACUUGUGGAGAGUCCAAACUGUCGACUGGAGACUCUAAGCUGGUGGUGGUGAUCUCCGUCAGAGUGGUGAGAUAGGUGGAGGUGUUGAGAGGAUCAGCUGUGUCCUGAUGAUCCAGAGAGGCUGAAGCAGCACCAUCAGCUGGAGCAACUGUGGAUGGACAGGAUGUAACCAGCUGACGUCUCUACGAACCACAGAUGGUUGAAGGUUGACAUUUGUACCAGACACGACCUAUCACAUUCACAUUAUGCUUAUCAGCCACCUCUCACAUCAGGAGGUGGAGGGGAAGGAGGAGGCAUUAUAUAAUAAUCCUGAGAGCCAAACGGCCGAUCACACCGCUGGAUAUGUUCAAAGAAGUCUGCAGACAUCUGCAGACGCCCUGUGGUGACCAAAACCAGCAACAUUUCACAGGAAGGCGGAUCAACUCAAAGUGUAAAUCCAAACCAAGAUGUGUUGCUCACCCUCACCUUGACCAUAAUAUCGUGACCAAACGAAGCCGGUCCAACCAAGUAUCACCUGUUUUCAACACUAACAAGGCUACAAGCUGCCAGAUGGCCGACUGCAGUUUAAGUAACGUACAUUUACAUGUCAGAGCAUCUCCAGGCCUCGUUUGUGGCCAUCAAGCAAGUGUUUCUGUGCCUGAAGCUAAGCAGAUACACAACAGCUCUGUGACCAGAGACACAAAAUUCAUCGUCAACAAACUUAAAGUUGCAACAUAAUGACAGAAACACUUUUGCAGAAACGUGCGUGGAGACUGCUGCCACCUGCAGGACGGACUCUUCUUUCUCCCUCGUCAGCAGUGAGCAGCGAAGAAAAGCAACUUUAUCCAUCCGACAGUUUUCCUUUCCGCGAGCCGCACCGACUCAUUUAGAGUGUUUGGUCGUCUCUUGAUUUUCUGUCUCAUCCCGUCUCAUUCUCUUCACUUUUUAUUCUUCCUUCAAUAUUCUUAGUGAUGUUCUGUGAUUGAACACCUCGUUUGUCUCUUACUCGUUCUGUCUAAUAAAAGGAUCUAUUAUC